UGUGCAGGCGGUUUGGUAAGUCGGACGUAAAGGCUCCCGGCUCAACUGGGAGAGGCCGUUCGAUACUGCCAGACUCGAGGGUAGGAGAGGGAGGUGGAAUUUCGGGUGUAGCGGUGAAAUGCGUAGAUAUCUGAAGGAACACCAGUGGCGAAGGCGGCCUCCUGGCCUAUCCCUGACGCUAAGACACGAAAGCUAGGGGAGCAAACG
rnacentral:rRNA from 1 species